UUUUUAUGGAGAUGGAGGAGCUCCGCAGGGUGUGUGUAGAACGCGGCAGCUGUCUCCACAUAUUUUCUGAGCGCUGGAGGCUGCCUGAAUGACCAGUAGAGGGAGCUCCUCUCAGGAAGUUCCCUUGGGGAGAGCUGGUUAGGCUGUACGGAUGUGAGGCUCCACGGAGUGGCACGGACUGCAGAAGCCAAAAGGCCUCUUCCGGACCAUGUGAUAUCCUACUUGAAUAGUGAUUACCGACUGAAGAUGCUGUCUGCCCAGGCAGGACAUUUCUUCAGAGGAUCCCCAUUCUGAGAAACCACCAUAUAGAUACAUUAUUUGAUAUCACAGUAAUUUGCCUUAUGGAUUUCUACACCUAGAUCGAUGAUGCUGAGUACUGCUGUGGUCAGUGCACUGUAGUGGAAGUGUAAAAUAUAUAA